rnacentral:rRNA from 1 species
GAUGAACGCUAGCGGCAGGCUUAACACAUGCAAGUCGAGGGGUAUUGGUUUUCGGACCAAGAGACCGGCGCACGGGUGCGUAACGCGUAUGCAAUCUACCUUUUGCAGAGGGAUAGCCCAGAGAAAUUUGGAUUAAUACCUCAUAGUAUAGUACUUUGGCAUCAAGGAACUAUUAAAGUCACAACGGCAAAAGAUGAGCAUGCGUCCCAUUAGCUAGUUGGUAAGGUAACGGCUUACCAAGGCUACGAUGGGUAGGGGUCCUGAGAGGGAGAUCCCCCACACUGGUACUGAGACACGGACCAGACUCCUACGGGAGGCAGCAGUGAGGAAUAUUGGACAAUGGGCGCAAGCCUGAUCCAGCCAUGCCGCGUGCAGGAUGACGGUCCUAUGGAUUGUAAACUGCUUUUAUACAGGAAGAAACACUCCGACGUGUCGGAGCUUGACGGUACUGUAAGAAUAAGGAUCGGCUAACUCCGUG